UACGUAGGUCCCGAGCGUUGUCCGGAUUUAUUGGGCGUAAAGCGAGCGCAGGUGGUUUAUUAAGUCUGGUGUAAAAGGCGGUGGCUCAACCAUUGUAUGCAUUGGAAACUGGUAGACUUGAGUGCAGGAGAGGAGAGUGGAAUUCCAUGUGUAGCGGUGAAAUGCGUAGAUAUAUGGAGGAACACCGCUGGCGAAAGCGGCUCUCUGGCCUGUAACUGACACUGAGGCUCGAAAGCGUGGGGAGCAAACAGG
rnacentral:rRNA from 1 species